UUUUAAAAGCAAACCACCAUAAGCUGCAUUUUACAAAAUAAAUCACAUGCACAAGUACAUAACACAGGAACAAAAUGUUUGCAAAACAAUACUUAGCGCAGUGUACUCUGGCAAUUUCUGUGCUUCAAUGCGAAAUAAAAAGGCGCAUCAAAACUAAAAUGAUGAAAAACCCAUUAUUAGGUUGUGACCCAAAUGAGUAAUGUGCACAUUUAGUCCUUACAAAGAUCUCUGAGAUGGGAGAUGGGAGUGAUGUUCAUCUCCAUUUUCAGAGAUACACAGAGGUGAAGGAUUUUGUCUAAGGCACAGUUACGAAGUAGUAAAAGGAGGAUUUGAAUCUAGGCAGCCUGAAUUCAGAGUCUGUAUAUUUACUACUGUGCAAGAUGUAGUCUACGGAGGGUCAUCUUGUAGGGGAGACAGAAUUGUUGAGGGAAUUGGAAUUAUUAGUAAAAAACUCAGGAGACAACAAGAAAAAUUGUAUGUAAUUAAGAAUUAUAGCCGGCUUCAAAAUACUCUGGUCCUCUAAAUCUGCCACACAUUUAUUUUCCCUAAAGAAAAUUGGAUACAUUGGGUCUUUCUUCCCAAGACUGCCUAUUUUAAACCUUUUUUGUUUGAAAAUUUCCAUUAAUUUUUUCUUAUCUGAGUAAUUCUAGGAUCUUAUCUUCAAUCUCAAUACAGACUUUUGCUUCCCAGCUCUCAGCCUCAGUCCCAUACCCCCCUGAGUCCUGAGUCCUGCAGCCCUCUCUGUCCCCGAUAGGCCACAUUUAGCUGUUGAUUCAAUUGUAAUGUGUGUUAUAUAGGCUACGGGUGCUGUGGGUGACCCGGAAGUCUGGUAAAGAGGCCAUUGGCCUUGGGGGUGUGUGGCUCCAGCUCUGCCAGUGUCUAGCUUUGAGAGGGUUAUAACCCAGUUCAAGGCUGUGGGGUUCCCAUCUGUAAAACAAGGGAUUGAGUCUGUCUUCUAAUUCUGUCUGGGGAGUAAGUAAUAUUUGAUGAUUUUGGUUCUUUGUCUUGGGAGUGGGGGGGGAGGAUUAUGUAAACGUUUUACUCACUUACAGUAAAUUCUCCACUCCCUUCCUCAGACCUGCGCUAUCUUGUGGAUGUUUGAAUUCAACACCACCCAUUUUACAGAUGAAGCCACUGAGAUACAGAACAAUUGACUAAGUAGUCGCUGCCCCUCCUCUGGAGUCUCAUGCAUGACUCUGCUUUUCCCAUUUGAAUGACUGCAUGUUAGUUAAGGAUUUUAAUGAGGUUGUGAAGGCUCCACACCCAACAUGGGGCUUGAACUUACUAUCCUGAGAUCAAGAGUUGCAUGGUCUGACGGCUGAGCCACCCAGGCACUCCAGCUAGCACCCGUGUUUCCUGCCGUUAUACUGUACCACCAUCAUGGAUUGAAGGGAAGAGACUGGACAUGAACUGCAUUUUGUCCAACUUGUGUUAUAGGAGAGCUUUCCAUCAUCCCCCUAACGGGUGAUCACCAAGUUCUUUUUGAAUGCCUACAUUGCUGGGGAGCUCAUCACUUCUUGAGGAAUCCCAUUAUAUGUUGAAUAGCUCCCUUUGGUGAUCUCAACCUUUCUGACAGCUCCACUUAACCAUCUACAUGUAGUUGAAACCCAGAUCUUUCUCCAGACCAAUAUCCAGCUGCUCAUGUGGACAACAUCACAAGGAUGUUUGACAUACUCGCCAUCUUGCAGUCUUCUGCUCUUCCCCAUUUGCUCCUCGUCCAAUGUCCUGUCACAUGCUCUUUUAGGAACUCUUGACUCAAGACAGAGGGAGCGGAAUUCCUACGUAACAGAGCGUUCUUAUGUCCCAUGGCAGCUGUCAUCUGCCAAAGACAUGGAAGAAGGGGAGCUGACUCUUCCGUGGCAUGUAUUAUGUGCCCGCAACUGUUUCCAGCACCUUACAUAUAUGAAGUUUUUAUGAGAUUAGUGCUCUGUCCUGGGUUGAAUAGUAUCCUUCCACUUAAAAAAAAAAAAAAAUAGUAUCCUUCCAAAAAUUCAUGUCCACCCAGAACCUAUGAAUGUGAUCUUACUUGGAAAUAGGAUUCUUGUCGAUGUAAUCAAGUUAAGAUGAAGUCAUAGUAGAUUAGGAUGGGCCCUAAUCCAGUGACUGAUGUUCUUAUAUGAAGAGGGAGAUACACAGAGGGAAGACAUCCAUAUGAAGAUGGGAGCAGAAAUCGGAAUUGUGCUGCCACAAACCAAGGAAUGUCAAGAAUUACUGGCAACCGCCAGAGCUGGAAGAGGCAAAGAAAGAUUCUCCCCUGGAGCCUUCACAGGGAGCAUGGCCUUGCUGAAACCUUGAUUUUGGACUUCUAGCCUCUAGAACUGUAAGGAAGCAGGCCCAGAGAGGUCAGACCCUUUGAGAUGUCUCUAGGCCACUGCUCUGUGGGCUGGGUACUUACUCUGAAGUUCCUGAUGCUGCUGUUGUUGGCUCCGCACCUUCCAUGCCGUCACACCUCUGCUACUGCUGGUGCUCAGUUGCUGGAAUGGCUCCUUCUCUAACACAGCAGGCUGCAGCGUUUCCCCCUUCUUACCCACUUCACACCCUGAAUCAGAAACUCCUCUCAGAGGCUCUGGCUGUAGACUGAUUAUUUCAGCAGGAUACUUCGUGGCCCCACUUCUCCAGCCUUAGGAUGUCACCCAUAGCUCACAUAGCACAUACCACAGUUCAUGGCUGUGAGCAGAGCAGGAGGAGCAUCAUGACUGCAUUGGUUCUGAGGGCCCUUGUCACCUGGCCUCUUCUCUACCAAACAUUUACUACUUACCUCAGAAAUGGUUUUGCUUUGAAGAAUCUGUGGAGGGAAGGAAGUCACAUAGCCCUUGGAAUAGUCCAACGACAUAGGCCUUAUUAUCGCCCCUGCCUCACGGACGAUGGAAUUAGGUCACACGGAGGCGAUUUAACCAAAGUGAGUACUGGUUAGAGAGCUUAUGGGCCACCCGACAGUUAACUUAGUGAAUCUGCAUAACACCCGGAGUCCUGCCUGCGGCGACCUGUCUCCCAGGGCUCUUUCAGUCUCUUGGCCCGUAGGCUGGACUGCGUGGGCAGCAGGUUUGCCUACAUUCGAGAACGAGAGCGCGCUGGUCCCUCGGGAGCCCAAGGAGCAGCGGGGAGUCAGACGUGGGAACCAGGGACGCAGGACUCCUGAACAGGCCCACAGUUUUGAUGAGGGGGGUGCUUUUCCAAAGGAGGCCUCCCACAGCCAGGGCGGGAAGUUGUAAAUGGGGUGCAGGUGGCGGAAGAGGUGGGCAGGGACCUGUUGGAUCAAAGCCAGCUUCGCACUAGAGGAAACACCUAUUGGUUCCUUAAUUACAGGAUGCCACGGGACUGGCUUUGCCUCUGGGUGUGGGCGCAGUAACCUGGGCUUUAAACAAACAGCCCCGUCACUCAGCAGUAAUGAGCAGCAACAGAAAGCAUCUCCGGUGGGACAGGAUGGACAGGUGGCCCACAACACGCAGCCUCGGUGCCACACCUGGGGAGCAGAGGUGAUAGGUCCUGUCUUGGGCCGUUUACGAAGAAUCUGCUGUGUCCUAGGCACUGUAGGACACCGGCCUACCGCGGUCUAGAGAAUUGAGGAGACAAGGUUACGUUUGAAAAGUUAAGCAGCGGCGUAAGCAACCCCACACGUGUUACCUGUAAGGGAAGGAGAUGCUGAGUCGAACGAGGACCCCGGGCAGGGAUUCCCCAGCAGGCAGAUGGGGGGGGGGGGCGUAUCACACCGCCG